UACACAAGGGAAGGGCCACGAGAAUCUUAGAGACAACUAAUCAAAAAUAUUCUGCCACUGAAUGAAUUACACUUCUAUAUCUGGAGUUCUUAUGUGAGAAAGAGAAAGUCUAACUUAUUUAAGGUUCAACAGAGUUCAGCAAGUUCUUGUGUUCACUCUAACACAGUAUACACUGUGAAACUGCUUUAUUUCAAAUUAGAUGUGACAGAAUAAUAGGAGUAGAAAUGACUCAACUGGCCUUUGUGACAUGGUUGGUUACUGGAAAAGGGACAAAGUCUGUCUAUUCCAUUGCAUCAUUCUUCUGGAACCUUGAUAAUAGCCAAUUCUACUGCCUUAACAGCAUCAUUGCUUGCAGUUGGCAAGGACCAGAGAGAGAAAACAAGGUCACGCUGCUAGUAAGGUGUGGUUUCAGGAUUCAACUUCAGUAAAUCUAACUCCAAAACUGUGCUCUUUUCUGCUAUUUUGUAUAUUUUGCUACUGCUAUUUCAAACAUUGGCCUUCAACUCUUAAAAGACCACCAGGAAAAUCUGUAACCAGGCAAUGGACUAUUUCAUAUAAUAGAGUUUCUUGCUCAUGUGUUUAAGGAAUGGCUUGGUCAGCUCUGAUAAAAGACUGCCACUGAGUUCAGGUAAUUUCACCUGUACCAAUUUUGGACUUUGGUUGAAGACAGCAGAUACAGGGAACAUUUACUUUUCAUGGAGGAAAUGGAAGUUCCUAGAGAGGUGAGUGGAAAUAUGUGAUUUCUCCUCAGAGUUAAUAUAUCUUCACUUCCAUCCAUAUUUUACUGCUCAAAACAAAUCACAUGGACCAUCUCCAAAUCAAUAGGGUAGCUGAAUUUACU